CCUUUCAUUGAUGAUGAUCUCAUCAUGUAUAUCCUUGGCGGAUUGGGAAGUGAGUAUGAAUCUGUUGUUGUUAAUCUCACUUCUAAAGAUUCUCUAACUUUGUAGGAAGUUCAAUUCAUGUUGCAAAGCCAAGAAAUGAGC